rnacentral:snoRNA from 1 species
ACCCUCCAGAUUCCUCACCUGUCCAUCUAAGCACUGGUCUGGUUAAAAAGGGAGGAAGAGCAAAAUUGACUGACAAAUUUUUUGUGACACAUGAGCUAGUUUCAAACAAAA